rnacentral:rRNA from 1 species
UGGCCAGACUCCUACGGGAGGCAGCAGUGAGGAAUAUUGGUCAAUGGGCUUACGCCUGAACCAGCCAAGUCGCGUGAGGGAAGACUGCCCUAUGGGUUGUAAACCUCUUUUGUCAGGGAGCAACGCCGGCUACGUGUAGCCGGACUGAGAGUACCUGAAGAAAAAGCAUCGGCUAACUCCGUGCCAGCAGCCGCGGUAAUACGGAGGAUUCAAGCGUUAUCCGGAUUUAUUGGGUUUAAAGGGUGCGUAGGCGGUCGGAUAAGUUAGAGGUGAAAUCCCGAGGCUCAACUUCGGAAUUGCCUCUGAUACUGUUCGGCUAGAGAGUAGUUGCGGUAGGCGGAAUGUAUGGUGUAGCGGUGAAAUGCUUAGAGAUCAUACAGAACACCGAUUGCGAAGGCAGCUUACCAAGCUACUUCUGACGUUGAGGCACGAAAGCGUGGGGAGCAAACAGGAUUAGAUACCCGCGUAGC